CAGGUAUAUUGAUGAUUAUAUUUAUGUGAGACAUUGGAAUAGUGUUGUUUUUGUAAGCUAAUGUUUUAUAAUUAAAUUGAAUGUACAUGCCCUUUACAAGCGCAUUGUUGUAGCAUAAACUUACUGGAUUUACUUAUGUUGGGUAAUGUGAAGUGUAAAAAGCAGUCUGCUCAUAAAAAAAACAGACAGUAAAUCCCACAGCAUGCUAAAUGCUAAAGCUUACUCAGUUCAUCAAUAAAUAGACUAUUAACAGUGAAAAAGACAAAUAGUGCAUC